rnacentral:rRNA from 1 species
GUUUUAUUGAUUAAUAAUAUUAAGUCAAAUCUGCUCAAUGAAUAAUUUAAAUAGCUGCAGUAUAAUUAACUGUACAAAGGUAGCAUAAUAAUUAGUUUUUUAAUUAAAAACUUGAAUGAAAGAUUAAAUGAAAUAUAAACUGUCUCAAAUUUAUUAAAUAAACUUUUUUUUUAAGUCAAAAAACUUAAAUAGUUAUAAAAGACGAUAAGACCCUAAAGAAUUUUAAUAAUAUUUUUAAUUUUAUUUAAUAUAAAUUAAUUUUAUUAAAAUAUUAUUUUAAUUGGGGAAAUUUUAAAAUUUAAAUAAUUUUUAAUUUAAAAAACAUUUAUUUUUGAAUAAAUAAAAUUUUUUUAAAAAAAAAAAUUAAAUUACCUUAGGGAUAACAGCAUAAUUUUUUUUUUAAGACCAAAUUUUUAAAAAAGUUUAU